CGCGUGAGGAACCUGCCUUUCAGAGGGGGACAACAGUUGGAAACGACUGCUAAUACCGCAUAACGCAUGGGUAUCGCAUGGUAUCUGUGCCAAAGAUUUAUCGCUGAGAGAUGGCCUCGCGUCUGAUUAGCUAGUUGGUGAGGUAACGGCCCACCAAGGCGACGAUCAGUAGCCGGACUGAGAGGUUGGCCGGCCACAUUGGGACUGAGACACGGCCCAGACUCCUACGGGAGGCAGCAG
rnacentral:rRNA from 1 species